rnacentral:rRNA from 1 species
UGGGGAAUAUUGGACAAUGGGCGAAAGCCUGAUCCAGCCAUGCCGCGUGUGUGAAGAAGGCCUUUUGGUUGUAAAGCACUUUAAGUGGGGAGGAAAAGCUUAUGGUUAAUACCCAUAAGCCCUGACGUUACCCACAGAAUAAGCACCGGCUAACUCUGUGCCAGCAGCCGCGGUAAUACAGAGGGUGCAAGCGUUAAUCGGAAUUACUGGACGUAAAGCGCGCGUAGGUGGUUAUUUAAGUCAGAUGUGAAAGCCCCGGGCUUAACCUGGGAACUGCAUCUGAUACUGGAUAACUAGAGUAGGUGAGAGGGGAGUAGAAUUCCAGGUGUAGCGGUGAAAUGCGUAGAGAUCUGGAGGAAUACCGAUGGCGAAGGCAGCUCCCUGGCAUCAUACUGACACUGAGGUGCGAAAGCGUGGGUAGCAAACAGGAUUAGAUACCCUGGUAGUCCACGCCGUAAACGAUGUCUACCAGUCGUUGGGUCUUUUAAAGACUUAGUGACGCAGUUAACGCAAUAAGUAGACCGCCUGGGGAGUACGGCCGCAAGGUUA